UACGGAGGGUGCAAGCGUUAUCCGGAUUCACUGGGUUUAAAGGGUGCGUAGGCGGGCAGGUAAGUCAGUGGUGAAAUCUCCGGGCUCAACCCGGAAACUGCCAUUGAUACUAUUAGUCUUGAAUUUUGUUGAGGUAGGCGGAAUAAGUCAUGUAGCGGUGAAAUGCAUAGAUAUGACUUAGAACACCAAUUGCGAAGGCAGCUUGCUAAACAAAUAUUGACGCUGAGGCACGAAAGCGUGGGGAUCAAACAGG
rnacentral:rRNA from 1 species